rnacentral:rRNA from 1 species
GAUGAACGCUAGCGGCAGGCUUAACACAUGCAAGUCGAGGGGUAUUGGUUUUCGGACCAAGAGACCGGCGCACGGGUGCGUAACGCGUAUGCAAUCUACCUUUUGCAGAGGGAUAGCCCCAGAGAAAUUUGGAUUAAUACCUCAUAGUAUAGUACUUUGGCAUCAAGGAACUAUUAAAGUCACAACGGCAAAAGAUGAGCAUGCGUCCCAUUAGCUAGUUGGUAAGGUAACGGCUUACCAAGACGAUGAUGGGUAGGGGUCCUGAGAGGGAGAUCCCCCACACUGGUACUGAGACACGGACCAGACUCCUACGGGAGGCAGCAGUGAGGAAUAUUGGACAAUGGGCGCAAGCCUGAUCCAGCCAUGCCGCGUGCAGGAAGAAGCAUCUAUGGUGUGUAAACUGCCUUUGUACGGGAAGAAACACUCCUACGUGUAGGAGCUUGACGGUACCGUAAGAAUAAGGAUCGGCUAACUCCGUGCCAGCAGCCGCGGUAA